rnacentral:rRNA from 1 species
UCCGAAGGGGGCUAUCGUUGUUCGGAAUUACUGGGCGUAAAGCGCACGUAGGCGGAUUUGUUAGUCAGGGGUGAAAUCCCGGGGCUCAACCUCGGAACUGCCUUUGAUACUGCAAGUCUUGAGUCCGGAAGAGGUGAGUGGAAUUCCUAGUGUAGAGGUGAAAUUCGUAGAUAUUAGGAAGAACACCAGUGGCGAAGGCGGCUCACUGGUCCGGUACUGACGCUGAGGUGCGAAAGCGUGGGGAGCAAACAGG